CCGCGCCUCCAGCCUGACGGACCUCCCGGCUGCUUGCCCAGACCCAGCCCCCAGAUAGAGAAGGGGCGACUCAGGCCGGGGAGACACCAGCUCGGGACGUUAGGUGCCCAGGGGUAUGAUGACGGCUACGGGCGUGAAUAUGAGGACCAGACGUAUGAGACAUAUGAUAACAGCUAUGCCACCCAAACACAAAGUGUGCCUGAGUAUUAUGACUACGGUCAUGGAGUAAGUGAAGAUGCCUAUGA